AUGAACGCUAGCGGCAGGCUUAACACAUGCAAGUCGAGGGGCAGCGCGGGAUAGCAAUAUCCUGGCGGCGACCGGCGGAAGGGUGCGUAACGCGUGAGCGACAUGCCCGUUGCCCGGGGACAACCGGUGGAAACGCCGACUAAUCCCCGAUGGGAUACGAUGCUUCAUGGCAUUGUAUUGAAAGUUACGGCGGCGACGGAUUGGCUCGCGUCCGAUUAGCUUGUUGGCGGGGUAACGGCCCACCAAGGCUACGAUCGGUAGGGGUUCUGAGAGGAAGGCCCCCCACAAUGGGACUGAGACACGGCCCAUACUCCUACGGGAGGCAGCAGUGAGGAAUAUUGGUCAAUGGGCGGAAGCCUGAACCAGCCAUGCCGCGUGCGGGAAGGAGGCCCUAUGGGCUGUGAACCGCUUUUGCCUGGGGGCAAUAAGGGCGUCGCGCACGUCCGAUGAGAGUACCAGGCGAAUAAGCAUCGGCUAACUCCGUGCCAGCAGCCGCGGUAAUACGGGGGAUGCGAGCGUUAUCCGGAUUCAUUGGGUUUAAAGGGUGCGUAGGCUGUGCGUCAAGUCGGGGGUGAAAUUCCGGUGCUCAACACCGGGGCUGCCCUUGAUACUGUCGCGCUGGAGUGCGGAUGCCGCCGGAGGAAUGAGUGGUGUAGCGGUGAAAUGCUUAGAUAUCACUCAGAACACCGAUUGCGAAGGCAUCUGGCGAAUCCGUAACUGACGCUGAGGCACGAAAGCGUGGGGAUAGAACAGGAUUAGAUACCCUGGUAUUCCACGCCGUAAACGAUGAUGGCUAACCGCCGGCGACACACUGUCGGUGGCCAAGCGAAAGCGAUAAGCCAUCCACCUGGGGAGUACGUCGGCAACGAUGAAACUCAAAGGAAUUGACGGGGGCCCGCACAAGCGGAGGAACAUGUGGUUUAAUUCGAUGAUACGCGAGGAACCUUACCCGGGCUCGAACGGCACCUGAAUCGCCCAGAGAUGGGCGAGUCUUCGGACAGGUGUCGAGGUGCUGCAUGGUUGUCGUCAGCUCGUGUCGUGAGAUGUUAGGUUAAGUCCUGCAACGAGCGCAACCCUCGUGAUUAGUUGCCAGAUAAUGGAACUCUAAUCAGACUGCCGUAGUUAAUACGGAGGAAGGUGAGGAUGAUGUCAAAUCAUCACGUCCCUUAUGUCUUGGGCUACACACGUACUACAAUGGCGUUAAACAAAGAGAAGCAAGACCGCGAGGUGGAGCAAAACUCAAAAACAACGUCUCAGUUCAGAUUGCAGGCUGCAACUCGCCUGCAUGAAGUCGGAAUUGCUAGUAAUCGUAGGUCAGCAUACUACGGUGAAUACGUUCCCGGGCCUUGUACACACCGCCCGUCACACCACGAGAGUUUGUAACACCCGAAGUCGGUGAGGUAACCUUUUUGGAGCCAGCCGCCUAAGGUGGGAUAGAUGAUUGGGGUG
rnacentral:rRNA from 1 species